GGGACGCUAGUACAGGUGGUGCAUGGCUGCGUCAGCUCGUGUCGUGAGAUGUUGGGUUAAGUCCCGCAACGAGCGCAACCCUUACCCUUAGUUGUUUUCCCGAAAGGAUUACCCUCUAAGGGGACUGCCCCGGACAACGGGGAGGAAGGUGGGGAUGACGUCAAGUCCGCAUGCUCCUUACGUCUAGGGCUACACACGUCCUACAAUGGGGUCGACAGUGGGAUGCAAAGCCGCGAGGUGGAGCCAAUCCCCAAACGGCCUCUCAGUUCGGAUAGUAGUCUGCAACUCGACUACUUGAAGUCGGAAUCGCUAGUAAUGGCGGAUCAGCAUGCCGCCGUGAAUACGUUCCCGGGUCUU
rnacentral:rRNA from 1 species